GUGGUAAGUUAGAAUAUAUGUAUUUGAAAACAAAUGAGACAAACUUUUCAUUGAUCUCUCAUGCAAAAAUAAAAAGUGGUUAAACCCAUGCUUUUCGUUAAAACAUGUUCUUUAAUACAUGCAAUCACCAACAGUUGUUCAUUAUGUGGGUUUUCAAGUAAAUAGGUCAUUUAAAUGUACUCUGACUUAUUGUUUGUUAAAUUCUAUUUGGAAUAGUUUGUUCCAGUUUUUUUUAUUUGAUUUGAUCUUUUCCUACCAUAAAUGGGUUCCACUAUUACCAAACCCAAUACCAGCAUAACAGCUUGCCAUGUGCAUUUCUGAUCUAGCCUCAACAUCGCCUUUGUCGUAAACAGCUCUGAAGUAAAAUACGGGUAAAUCUGAAAUACAUUUCUUUUUUUUUUUUGGGGGGUGGUGGGGGGAUUUCAUGAAUCCAUUGAUCACUGUUGGUUGCAACUCUGACAAAAUAGUGUAUAGAUUAAAUCCCACAUUAACUACAAAAAUAAUUUUUAAGAAGAUUAUUUUCUAAUAUCAUAAUCUUUUUUUAAAGCCAGAUGCAAAGAAAUAGCAAAAAGCAAUCGUAACUCAAUGAACUUUCUUGACUUUUUU
rnacentral:lncRNA from 1 species